rnacentral:tmRNA from 11 species
GGGGCUGAUUCUGGAUUCGACGGGAUUUGCGAAACCCAAGGUGCAUGCCGAGGGGCGGUUGGCCUCGUAAAAAGCCGCAAAAAAAUAGUCGCAAACGACGAAAACUACGCUUUAGCAGCUUAAUAACCUGCUUAGAGCCCUCUCUCCCUAGCCUCCGCUCUUAGGACGGGGAUCAAGAGAGGUCAAACCCAAAAGAGAUCGCGUGGAGACCCUGCCUGGGGUUGAAGCGUUAAAACGAAUCAGGCUAGUCUGGUAGUGGCGUGUCGGUCCGCAGGUGCCAGGCGAAUGUAAAGACUGACUAAGCAUGUAGUACCGAGGAUGUAGGAAUUUCGGACGCGGGUUCAACUCCCGCCAGCUCCACCA